rnacentral:lncRNA from 1 species
UAAACAGCAGGUGGGGAGGGGGGUGGAGAGGUCUUAAUGAGGUCAUCACUCAGGUACAGGUACAGUACCUGCUCAGUGCUGUAGAGCCGGCCGGGGAGGGGAGAUGGCUCCUCAGCUUCAGCUCAGCACCUACACACAGGAGUUCAACUACCCCACCCAGGCCAAGACCACCCGGCCCAGACCCACAUCAGCCCACCGCAGGAACAACCCCCACCCACGCCCGGACUUCCUGCUGCCACGAAAGCUGCAGACAGGAUAUGGACUCAGGCCGAUGUUUCCAGCUAUUGCAGCUUCCAACAACGUUCCUCUGUUUCCACCAGUCAGACACAUAUCUGCCCAGUGUCCAGAUUUCUGAGAUUCAGUAAUUUGUAAAAGUGCCCAGCACUCUGUACAACGGCCGCUUAAUCAGCUCCGAUAAAUCACUUUUUACACAGUCAUCCAGGCUCAAAGUAGUGCCACACCUCAUUGGUAGGAUCCUGAGAGCCCUGACAUUUAAAACGAGGCAUUAAUAAUUGCACAAUAAGUUCACAAAAAGCUUAUUAAAAACCAUUCAGCUCCGGGCGCCGCCAUCACAGUACUGAUAUUGACAGAAAUACAGGGGUUAGACUAUGAAACCGAAACAUCUGUC